rnacentral:rRNA from 1 species
UGUGAACUCGAAGAGUAGGGCGGGACACGUGGUAUCCUGUCUGAAUAUGGGGGGACCAUCCUCCAAGGCUAAAUACUCCUGACUGACCGAUAGUGAACCAGUACCGUGAGGGAAAGGCGAAAAGAACCCCGGCGAGGGGAGUGAAAAAGAACCUGAAACCGUGUACGUACAAGCAGUGGGAGCACCUUUAUGGUGUGACUGCGUACCUUUUGUAUAAUGGGUCAGCGACUUAUAUUCUGUAGCAAGGUUAACCGUAUAGGGGAGCCGCAGGGAAACCGAGUCUUAACUGGGCGUUAAGUUGCAGGGUAUAGACCC